rnacentral:rRNA from 1 species
GAUGCAGCGACGCCGCGUGAGGGAUGACGGCCUUCGGGUUGUAAACCUCUUUCAGCAGGGAAGAAGCGAAAGUGACGGUACCUGCAGAAGAAGCACCGGCUAACUACGUGCCAGCAGCCGCGGUAAUACGUAGGGUGCGAGCGUUGUCCGGAAUUAUUGGGCGUAAAGGGCUUGUAGGCGGUUUGUCGCGUCUGCUGUGAAAAUCCGGGGCUCAACCCCGGACUUGCAGUGGGUACGGGCAGACUAGAGUGUGGUAGGGGAGACUGGAAUUCCUGGUGUAGCGGUGAAAUGCGCAGAUAUCAGGAGGAACACCGAUGGCGAAGGCAGGUCUCUGGGCCACUACUGACGCUGAGAAGCGAAAGCAUGGGGAGCGAACAGGAUUAGAUACCCUGGUAGUCCAUGCCGUAAACGUUGGGCGCUAGGUGUGGGACUCAUUCCACGAGUUCCGUGCCGCAGCUAACGCAUUAAGCGCCCCGCCUGGGGAGUACGGCCGCAAGGCUAAAACUCAAAGGAAUUGACGGGGGCCCGCACAAGCGGCGGAGCAUGCGGAUUAAUUCGAUGCAACGCGAAGAACCUUACCAAGGCUUGACAUAUACCGGAAACAUCCAGAGAUGGGUGCCCCUUUUUGGUCGGUAUACAGGUGGUGCAUGGUUGUCGUCAGCUCGUGUCGUGAGAUGUUGGGUUAAGUCCCGCAACGAGCGCAACCCUCGUUCUAUGUUGCCAGCACGUGAUGGUGGGGACU